rnacentral:tRNA from 1 species
GCCUGGGUGGCUCAGUCGGGUAAGCGUCCGACUUCAGCUCAGGUCAUGAUCUCACGGGUCGUGGGUUCGAGCCCCACGUCGGGCU